rnacentral:rRNA from 1 species
AGUGAACGCUGGCGGUAGGCCUAACACAUGCAAGUCGAACGGCAGCACAGUAAGAGCUUGCUCUUACGGGUGGCGAGUGGCGGACGGGUGAGGAAUACAUCGGAAUCUACUUUUUCGUGGGGGAUAACGUAGGGAAACUUACGCUAAUACCGCAUACGGCCUACGGGUGAAAGCAGGGGAUCUUCGGACCUUGCGCGAUUGAAUGAGCCGAUGUCGGAUUAGCUAGUUGGCGGGGUAAAGGCCCACCAAGGCGACGAUUCGUAGCUGGUCCGAGAGGAUGGACAGGCACACGGGAACCGAGGACGCGUCCACACUCCCACAGGAGGCAGCAGUGGGGAAUAUUGGACAAAGGGCGCAAGCCUGAUCCAGCCAUACCGCGUGGGUGAAGAAGGCCUUCGGGUUGUAAAGCCCUUUUGUUGGGAAAGAAAAGCAGCAGGUUAAUACCCCGCUGUUCUGACGGUACCCAAAGAAUAAGCACCGGCUAACUUCGUG